CUACAGUUUUUCUAAUGUUAGAGAAACAAACAAGGCAAGAAGGUUUGAAUAUUAAGUAGCGAAGAUGUAAUUAGUUUUUAGCGGAACAAAAGGAAUUAGAACAUAUGCAGUGUUUGGAGAAGUUAAUGUUUAAAACCUCUGCAACACUCACUGAUAGAUGAAAAUGACUUCAACAGAAGGAUUAGAAGUUGCCCUAUACCAGUUUAGCAAAAGUUGUUUAUAG
rnacentral:misc_RNA from 1 species